rnacentral:hammerhead_ribozyme from 1 species
AUCCUACUGAUGAGUCCCAAAUAGGUCGAAACGUGCGUCCUGAAU